rnacentral:rRNA from 1 species
AUUGAACGCUGGCGGCAUGCCUUACACAUGCAAGUCGAACGGCAGCACGGGUGCUUGCACCUGGUGGCGAGUGGCGAACGGGUGAGUAAUAUAUCGGAACGUACCUUAUUGUGGGGGAUAACGCAGCGAAAGCUGUGCUAAUACCGCAUAAUCCCUAAGGGGGAAAGCGGGGGACCGUAAGGCCUCGCGCAAUUAGAGCGGCCGAUACCUGAUUAGCUAGUUGGUGAGGUAAAGGCUCACCAAGGCAACGAUCAGUAGCUGGUCUGAGAGGACGAUCAGCCACUCUGGGACUGAGACACGGCCCAGACUCCUGCGGGAGGCAGCAGUGGGGAAUUUUGGACAAUGGGGGCAACCCUGAUCCAGCAAUGCCGCGUGAGUGAAGAAGGCCUUCGGGUUGUAAAGCUCUUUUGUCAGGGAAGAAACAGCAGCUCUAACACAGUAUGCGAAUGACGGUACCUGAAGAAUAAGCACCGGCUAACUACGUGCCAGCCGCCGCAGUAA